CCGAGUGACAACCUUAGAGCCAGCAG
rnacentral:piRNA from 1 species